rnacentral:tRNA from 1 species
ACUGUAGUGGACAAACUGGUAAAGUCACCACCCUUUCAAGGUGGAGCAUUGAGGGUUCGACUCCCUUCUACAGUG